rnacentral:rRNA from 1 species
AUUGAACGCUGGCGGCAGGCCUAACACAUGCAAGUCGAGCGGAUGAAGGGAGCUUGCUCCUGGAUUCAGCGGCGGACGGGUGAGUAAUGCCUAGGAAUCUGCCUGGUAGUGGGGGAUAACGUCCGGAAACGGGCGCUAAUACCGAUUACUUCCUGGGGGAGAAAGUGGGGGAUCUUCGGACCCAACGCAAUCAGAUGAGCCUAGGUCGGAUUAGCUAGUUGGUGGGGUAAAGGCCUACCAAGGCGACGAUCCGUAACUGGUCUGAGAGGAUGAUCAGUCACACUGGAACUGAGACACGGUCCAGACUCCUACGGGAGGCAGCAGUGGGGAAUAUUGGACAAUGGGCGAAAGCCUGAUCCAGCCAUGCCGCGUGUGUGAAAAAGGUCUUCGGAUUGUAAAGCACUUUAAGUUGGGAGGAAGGGCAGUAAGUUAAUACCUUGCUGUUUUGACGUUACCAACAGAAUAAGCAUCGGCUAACUUCGUG